rnacentral:rRNA from 1 species
GUCUUUUUGAAUAUAAUUUAAAGUCUGAUCUGCCCAUUGAUUAUUUUAAAAGGCCGCAGUAUUUUGACUGUGCAAAGGUAGCAUAAUAAUUAGUUUUUUAAUUGAAAGCUGGAAUGAAUGAUUUUAUGAAAAAAAUACUGUCUCUUUUUUAUUAUUUAGAAUUUUAUUUUUAAGUUAAAAAGCUUAAAUAUUUUUAAAAGACGAGAAGACCCUAUAGAGUUUAUAUAUAUAAAUAUAAUAUUUAUAUAUUUUUUUUUAUUUUUGUUAUUAAUAUAUAUUUUAUUGGGGUGAUAAGAAAGUUUAUUUAACCUUUUUAUAAAAAAAACAAUUUUUAUUGAGUAUUUGAUCCUUUAAAAGAUUAAUAGAUUAAAUUACCUUAGGGAUAACAGCGUAAUUUUUUUGGAGAGUUCAUAUCUAUAAAAAAGUUUGCGACCUCGAUGUUGGAUUAAGAUUUUUUUUAAAUGAAGAAGUUUAAAUUUUAAGUCUGUUCGACUUUUAAAAUCUUACAUGAUC